AAGUUAGCUCAGUUGGUUAGAGUGCUGGAUUGUGACUCCAGAGGUCGCGGGUUCAAACCCCGUACU
rnacentral:tRNA from 1 species